UAUAAGGUGUCCAAGAAGAAAGCUCAGAUCUGCAAACAGCAAGUAUGUUACCUGGGAUUUACUAUCUGACAGGGAGAGUGCAGCCUGGGAUCAGAAAGAAAGCAAGUCAUUUGCAACCUGCUGGAGCCUAAGACCAGAAGGCAGGUGAAAGAAUUCUUAGGAGCUGUAGGGUUCUGCAGGUUGUGGAUCCCAAACUUUGCAGUAUUGGCUAAGGGCCUAUACGGAGUCACAAAGCGGGGAGACAAGGAACCUUUCAAAUGGGGGUCCUGACAGCAGUGAGCUUUUCAUGAGUUAAAAGAAAAUCUCAUGUUGGUCCCAGCCCUGCGGCUACCUGACCUGACGAAACCUUUUACACUGUAUGUGUCAAAGAGAGAAAAAAUGGUGUUUGGAGUUUUGACCCAGACUGUGGGGCCCUGGUCGAGGCCAGUGGCCUACCACUCCAAACAACUAGACGGGGUUUCUAAGCAUUGGCCUGCAUCUUUAAGGACCUUGGCAGCAACAACCCAGCUAGCACAAGAAGCGGAUAAGCUAACUCUUGGGCAAAACCUAACUAUAAAGGCCCCCCAUGCUGUGGUGACUUUAAUGAAUACCAAAGGACAUCAAUGGCUAACGAAUGCUAGACCAACUAGAUACCAAAGCUUGCUCUGUGAGAAUCCCCACAUAACCAUUGAAGUUUGCAACACCCUGAACCCUGCCACCUUGCUCCCGGUAUCAGAGAGCCCAGUUGAACAUAACUGUGUAGAGGUGAUGGACUUAGUUUAUUCUAGCAGGCCUGACAUCCGAGACCAUCCUUGGACAUAAGUAGACUGGGAGCUGUACAUGGACAGGAGCAGCUUCGUCAACCCAUAAGGAGAGAGGUGUGUGGCAUAUGCAGCGGUAACCCUAGACACUGUCACUGAAGCCAAAUCGUUACCCCAGGGCACUUCAGCCCAGAAGGCCGAACUCAUUGCUUUAAUUCAGGCCUUAGAGCUAAGUGAAGGUAAGACUGUAAACAUUUACACUAACUCUCGGUAUGCCUUUUUAACCCUCCAAAUGCAUGGGGCAUUAUACAAGGAAAAAGGCCUGUUGAACUCUGGGGGAAAAGACAUAAAGUAUCAGCAAGAGAUCUUGCAAUUAUUAGAGGCAGUAUGGGAGCCCCAAAGGGUGGCAGUCAUGCACUGCAGAGGACACCAGUGAGCUUCCACCUCGAUUGCCUUGGGGAACUCCCAAGCUGACUCAGAGGCUCGAAAGGCAGCAUCCACCCCGUACUGGGUGUUAGUCACAGCCCCCCUGCUCCUUCAGUCACCUGACCUUGUGCCUACUUAUUCUAAAGAAGAGAAGGACUUUCUCCAGGCAGAGGGAGGACAGGUUAUAAAAGAGGGAUGGAUCCAGUUAUUGGAUGGAAGAAUAGCUGUGUCACAGCUGCUAGGGGCUGCAAUUGUACUGGCUUGCAUAAGACCACCCACCUAGGCGAAGAGUCAUUUGAAAAGUUGUUAGGCUGGUACUUCUACAUCUCACAUCUGUCAGCCCUUGCCAAAACAGUGGCGCAGCAGUGUGUCACCUGCUGGCAGCACAAUGCUAGGCAAGGUCCAAAAGUCCUGCCCAGCAUACAGGCUUGUGGAGCAGCCCCCUUUGAAGAUCUCCAAGUAGACUUCACCAAGACGCCCAAAUGUGGAGGUAACAAGUAUUUGCUAGUUCUAGCGUGUACAUACUCUGGGUGGGUGGAGGCCUAUCCAACACGAACUGAGAAAGCUCAUGAAGUAACCCAUGUGCUUCUCUGUGAUCUCAUUCCUAGGUUUGGACUGCCCUUACCAAUUGGCUCAGACAACGGGCCGGCAUUUGUGGCUGACUUGGUACAGAAGACAGCAAUGGUAUAGGGGAUCACAUGGAAACUACAUACCACCUAUCGACCACAAAGUUCUGGAAAGGUGGACCGGAUGAAUCGGACUAUCAAAAAUAGUUUAGGGAAAGUGUGUCAAGAAACAGGAUUAAAGUGGGUACAAGCUCUCCCUGUGGUAUUGUUUAAGAUUAGAUGUACCCUUUCUAAAAGAACAGGAUAUUCCCCUUAUGAAAUAUUAUAUCAUAGCCCCCUCCCACACUACAGGGACUCCCAGGCACUCCGCAAGAGCUAGGUGAAAUUGAGUUACAGUGAUAGCUACAGGCUUUAGGGAAGAUAACAACAAAAAAUUUCAGCCUGGGUAAGUGAGAGGUGCCCCAUCAGCUUACUCUCCCCAGUUCACCCUUUCUCCCCAGGUGAUCGGGUGUGGAUCAAGGAUUCGAACGUAGCCCCCUUGCAGCCACGGUGGAAAGGACCCCAGACCGUCGUCUUGACCACUCCCACAGCCAUAAAGGUAGAGGGAAUCCCAGCCUGGAUCCACCACAGCCACGUAAAACCUGCAGCACCUGAGACCUGGGAGGCGAGACCAAGCCCGUACAACGCCUGCAAAAAAGUAACUUUGAAGAAGACGACAAGCCCUGUUCCAGUCACACCCAGAAGCUAACUGGUCCACGCAUGGCCAAAGCAUGAGGAAACUCAUCCUGGAACUCAUUUUCCUUAAAUUCUGGAUUUGUACAGUAAGGACUUCAACUGACCUUCUUCAGACUGAGGACUGUUCCCAGUGUAUGCAUCAAGUUACUGAGGCAAACAAAGACUGGACUUACUCAUUGAGUGCAAAACACACAACAAAGGCUGAAGGCACUUCAAGCACUCGUGGUCCAAAGAUCGGGCAGAAAAAUUCAGAUGCAUCCUCACAAAAAUUAUGGCAGCAGCAAGUAAGAAGGUAAUGAUCCUGAGAAUCAGCACCCAAGACCAGUGGUCAGUCCAGCAGGAAAGAGAUAAAGGUGGCAUGGGACAAGCGCCACCCUCACCUCUGGGGACCAUCCCCCAGACACCAAGCAGGAAGACGAAGCUCAGGUCACAUUCAUCAUGGCUGAACUCCAGGUCACCUGUGGUGCAGAGAAAGUGGCUGGCUCAGAUGUCCAGGCCUGUGAGUAGGAACAAUGACGGGGCUUUCUCUGAAGCUUGCAUUGCACUUAUCCGCAGCGGGGAAGGGGUUGCGGAAUGACCUCUCUCCUUGUGAACUCCAGCAGAGCAGUUUUUCUGUGUAUUCGUUUUCUAUUUUUCUUGUUAUUGUUUUGUUUUCUAAUUUUACAAAUUGAAAAUGAUAUAUGACCAAGUUUACUCUUCUCUCCUUGGAGACUGAAUAAUUUUUCAAAUCUUCUCUUUCUCAUGGACGAAUCGUCCCUUCCUGUGUUUAGAAGUGCAGUGUUGUGUUGAGCAUAUGGACAUGACUGUGAGUCCCUGGAUGUCUUCUGUUUCUCAUGGAGGAAUUGUCCCUUCCUGUGUUUAGAAGUGCAGUUCUGUGUUGAGCAGACAGACAUGACUGUGAGUCCCUGGCCGUCUUCUGUUUCUCGUGGAGGAAUUGUCUCUCCCUGUCUUUAGUACUGCAGUGCUGUGUUGAGCAGACAGACAUGGCUGUGAGUCUCUGGGCUUGUGCCCUGGCCCAGUCAUUGCCUAGGCAACUCCCUCCCCACGGGCACCUGGCCUCUCUCCACUUUACUUUCUGAACCUGUAAAAUGGGUAGGAGGAUGGAGGAUGGUACGUCCUACCUCAUAGAGCUCAUGAGAGGAUUGGUACAGAUGAAAGCACUCGGAACACUGGCUGCAAUAUGAUAGGUCCUCAUCCAAUGUUAAUUACCAUUAUAAUUAUAAGCGUCUUUCAAAAGUAUUUGUCAUAAUACCUUUUUAUGUGGAUGGAAAGAGUGAUAUAAAUUUUCCCUGUCAUGAUGUGAACAGAACCUGGAGCACGCUUGGGUGGAGCCUGGAACUUUGGGUUAUUGAAGAGCCUGCUAGCACUAGUUCUAACAGCUGAGAUAUAGAAUCAGUCCAGGUGUCCAAUAAUACAUGAAUGGAUGAAGUAUCCAUGCAGAUACAUGAAUUGAAAAUGUAUAUACACAUACACUUUAAAAUUUGUGUAUACACAAUGGAAUACUAUUCAGCCAUAAAAAGAAUGAAAUCCUGUCAUUCAUGGCAAAAUGGUUGGAACUGGAGGACACCGUGCUCAGUAGAACGAGCCAGGAACACGAAGUUAAACGCCUCAUGUUCUCACUUAUUCGUGGAAGCUUAAAAAUGCUGAUCUCAUAGAAGUAAAAGGUAGAACAGAAGAUCCUAGAGGCUGGGAAGGAUUGGAGAAAGGGAGAGAUAGGGAGAGAUUUGUUAAAGAAUACAAAAUUACAGCUAGACGGGAGGAAUAAUUUCUAGUGUUCUAUACCACUGUAGGAUGACUACAGUUAACAAUAAUAUAUAGUUUUAAAUAGCUAUAGGGAGGAUAUUGACAAGGAAAUAAUAAGUAUUUGAGAUGAUGGAGAUGCAAAUCACCCUGAUCUGAUCACUGUAAAACAUAUGUAUUAAAAUUUCCCUGUUUACCCCCAUGAAGGUGUACAAUUAUUAUGUGUCCAUGAAACAUAAAUAAAGUAAAUUUUUAAGACUCCAA